UGAAACUUGUUGCUAAAGAUCUGCAAAUAUGGCUGGUGGACCGGUAGAUGAAUCCUUGUAUAAAUUUACUGGAAUUCAAAAGCAUUUUAAUUCCUACACAGUUAGAGGAAAAUUAGGGUGGGUUGGAGCAACUUACGGAACAUUAUUAGGAAUUUUUAUUUAUAAAAAAUUAACCAAGAAAUCAGAUAAAAAAUAGGCACCCAGAAUUUUCGAAUGUGAUAGCUGUGCAGACUCGAUAUGAACUUUAGAAAAUUUUGUUAAACUACUGUAUUAUUAUGAGAAGAAAUGUGUGAAAUGAAAAUCAGUAAAAAUAUUUUGUAUCUUCUGUAUUUUACUUCUCAUGAUGAUAAUGUUAUAGAAUAAACAUAAUUUCUUGCA